rnacentral:rRNA from 1 species
AUUGAACGCUGGCGGCAGGCCUAACACAUGCAAGUCGAGCGGAUGAAGGGAGCUUGCUCCUGGAUUCCGCGGCGGACGGGUGAGUAAUGCCUAGGAAUCUGCCUGGUAGUGGUGGAUAACGUCCGGAAACGGGCGCUAAUACCGCAUACGUCCUGCGGGAGAAAGUGGGGGAUCUUCGGACCUCACGCUAUCAGAUGAGCCUAGGUCGGAUUAGCUAGUUUGUGGGGUAAAGGCCUACCAAGGCGACGAUCCGUAACUGGUCGGAGAGGAGGAUCAGCCACACGGGAACGGAGACAGGGUCCAGACUCCUAAGGGAGGCAGCAGUGGGGAAUAUUGGACAAUGGGCGAAAGCAUGAUCCAGCCAUGCCGAGUGUGUGAAGAAGGUCUUCGGAUUGUAAAGAACUUUAAGUUGGGAGGAAGGGCAGUAAGUUAAUACCUUGCUGGUUUGACGUUACCAACAGAAUAAGCACCGGCUAACUUCGUG